AGAGUUUGAUCAUGGCUCAGGAUAAACGCUGGCGGCGUGCCUAACACAUGCAAGUCGAACGCCCUGGGAAACCAGGGAGUGGCGGACGGGUGAGGAACACGUGGGUAUCUGCCCUGAGGUGAGGAAUACCGGCAAGAAAUCGCCGACAAUACCGCAUAUGCUCGCAAGAGCAAAGUCGCAAGACGCCACAGGAUGAGCCU
rnacentral:rRNA from 1 species